UGACUGAUGAAGAGUCCCAAACUAGGACGAAACAACUGUCCAGUAC
rnacentral:hammerhead_ribozyme from 1 species